rnacentral:rRNA from 1 species
GACGAACGCUGGCGGCGUGCUUAACACAUGCAAGUCGAACGGAAAGGCCCUGCUUUUGUGGGGUGCUCGAGUGGCGAACGGGUGAGUAACACGUGAGUAACCUGCCCUUGACUUUGGGAUAACUUCAGGAAACUGGGGCUAAUACCGGAUAGGAUCUCCUGCUGCAUGGUGGUGGUUGGAAAGUUUCGGUGGUUGGGGAUGGACUCGCGGCUUAUCAGCUUGUUGGGGUGGUAGUGACAUACCAAGGCUUUGAAGGAUAGCCGGCCUGGGAGGGUGAACGGGGUCAAUGGGACUGAGAUACGCAGCAGACUCGUACGUUAGGCAGCGGGGGGGAACAUGGCGCAACGGGGCGAAGCGUGAUGCAGCAAUGCUGGGAGCGGAAAGCCCGCUUUCUGGUUGAAAACCGCUUUCGCCUGUGACGUGGAGAGAGUGACGGUAAUGGGUAAAGAAGCAACGGCUAACUACGUG